ensembl:lncRNA
ACUAGACCUGUGCAGACCAUACCGGGACCAGUGCACUGCAGACCAUACCAGAACGGACCAGACCAGACCGGAACUUGAGGGGACUGCAUAAACGGUUCCCCGGAUCAGACCGGACCCACGUCUUCACCAAGGCAAGGGCUCUGGGUAAGAGUGUGUACCUAAUGACAGAUUAUAACACAAACAGACCUUCUCCGUUCAGCCCCAACUGCGACGUCUCGCGAGGCUCCGCACCUACCUGACGACGUGCCCUCGUCUCGCGAGGCUCCGCAACUACCUGACGACGUGCCCUCGUCUCGCGAGGCUCCGCACCUACCUG